rnacentral:rRNA from 1 species
CUACUCGGAUAACUGUGGUAAUUCUAGAGCUAAUACGUGUUAGAAUGCUCCGAUACUUUUGACGAGCGCAUUUAUUGGACCAAAAUCAACGGAGCUACGGCUCGUCAAUUGAUAACUCUGAAUAACUAUUGCCGAUCGCAUGGUCUAGUACCAGCGACAUGUCUAUCGAGUGUCUGCCUUAUCAACUGUCGAUGGUAGUUUAUAUGACUACCAUGGUUGUAACGGGUAACGGAGAAUAAGGGUUCGACUCCGGAGAGGAAGCCUGAGAAAUGGCUGCCACAUCCAAGGAAGGCAGCAGGCGCGCAAAUUACCCACUCUCAGUACGAGGAGGUAGUGACGAAAAAUAACGGGACCGUUCUCUAUGAGGCCGGUCAUCGGAAUGGGCACAGUCUAAAUCCCUUAACGAGGAUCUAUGAGAGGGCAAGUCUGGUGCCAGCAGCCGCGGUAAUUCCAGCUCUCAAAGUGUAUAUCGUCAUUGCUGCGGUUAAAAAGCUCGUAGUUGGAUCUGCGCCGUAGAACUUGGUCCGCUCACUGAGUGUGAACUGAGCUUCUCGGCUAUUGUUGUUGGUUUUCCCUUUGUUGCCUUGAUCGGUUGCUGAGGGUGGCUAGCGAAUUUACCUUGAAAAAAUUAGAGUGCUUCAAACAGGCUUUCGCCUGCAUAUCUGUGCGUGGAAUAAUGGAACAGGAUUUCGGUCCUAUUUUGUUGGUUUUCUGAACCGAAAUAAUGGUUAAGAGGGACAGACGGGGGCAUUCGUAUCGCUGCGCGAGAGGUGAAAUUCUUGGACCGUAGCGAGACGUCCAACUGCGAAAGCAUUUGCCAAGAAUGUCUUCAUUAAUCAAGA